rnacentral:ncRNA from 1 species
GGCAUCAAGCACGGGAGCCGCGCAAGCGAGCUGAGAGGGUUGAUCCGACCGUUGAACGUGAUCCGGUUAGUACCGGCGAACGGAGCCUUUGAUGUCGUCGA